rnacentral:precursor_RNA from 1 species
AACCAUCGACCAGCCCCCAAUCGGGAAAGUUUUAGAUCAGAACCGUCAGAGUAACUCCUAGCAUGGUUCUGUACAGAGCAGGAGAGGAGGGGCCUCGCAUGGCGAUGAGAGCACUGCUCUGGUAGCCAAGGA